rnacentral:rRNA from 1 species
UACAGAGGGGGCGAGCGUUAAUCGGAAUUACUGGGCGUAAAGCGUGCGCAGGCGGUUCGUUGUGUCGGCGGUGAAAGCCCCGGGCUCAACCUGGGAAUGGCCGUUGAAACUGGCGAACUGGAGUGUGGCAGGAGGGGGGUGGAAUUCCGCGUGUAGCAGUGAAAUGCGUAGAGAUGCGGAGGAACACCGAUGGCGAAGGCAGCCCCCUGGGCUGACACUGACGCUCAGGCACGAAAGCGUGGGGAGCAAACAGG